AUGAAAAUCAGUGGUUGGAAGGAAAAGCUGCUAUCAGCAGCAGGAAAGGAAAUCCUUCUUAAAUCAGUUGUACAAGCUAUCCCAACUUAUGCAAUGUCUGGCUUCGAAAUUGCUAAAAACAUCUGCAAUGGAAUCAUUGACACGAUGUCGCAUUUUUGGUGGGGUGACGAAGACAAUCAGAAGAGAAUGCAUUGGAUGGCAUGGUGGAAGAUGUGUGUACCAAAAAACAAGGGAAUGGGGUUUUGAGAUAUACACUGAUUCAAUUUGGCAUUGUUAGCCAAACAAGCGUGGCACCUGCUUGAUAAUCCUGAUUCCCUAUGUGCCACCAUUUUGAGAGCUAAAUAUUUUCCAGAUGGAGACUUAAUGAAUGCAAGUCUUAAAAUGGACCUUCUUUCACUUGGCAAAGCAUUAUGGCGGGAGUGGAUUCUCUCAAAAAUGGUUAUAUUUAGAGUGUUGGAAAUAGACAAAAUAUUGACAUUUGGAGAUAUGCAUGGAUCCCGAAUGGGGCCAAUAGGAAAAUUAUCACUCCUAGAAGAGGGAAACUUCUAUCAAAAGUUGCUGAUCUUAUAG
rnacentral:rRNA from 1 species